rnacentral:lncRNA from 1 species
AUGAAUAAUUCAGAGCAUAGUAACCCCUCAACUCACCUUUCAAAUUGUUUCUCUCCCCCUAUCCAAUCUCCAAUGAAUUUACCGCCUAUGUACCCCAGCCAGCCUCCAACUUUACCUUCCCUCAUGAAUCAGCCUUCCUCGCAAUCUCCUUUGGUGUAUCAACCGUACUCCCAAUCACCGCAAGCACCAUCUUUCACUCAUUCGGAUCUCUCAUCCGAAAUCAGUGCAGCAAUAUCAUCGGAAAAUAUUCAUUCACCUGGCCCAACGUCGCCGAGUUUAGGGCCACCCGAAUUCGAACCACCUGCCAGUAUGCCUGAAGAACCAAGUAAAAGUCCUCCUCCCUCAACGCCGAAUACAGGAAUAUCUGAAGAAAACAGGAUGGAAUGCCACUUCUCUAGUCCAACUCCGGCCAAGGAUAAAACUCCGGAAAUGAGCUACCAGAACUAUGAGGAUUUUUCAGGCGAGUCAGAUACCAUGACAACAGUGAGAUAUCCUCACGCACAGCGGCCGCGCAUGGACUAUCAGCACAUUGUGAAGCCUCAAAUCUCGCAAGAUGUUGCAUCAAAAAGUUUGUCCGGCUUGGAAUCACUGGUAGACCAGAUCCCGAACAUUGGAGAGGGAGAGCAAAUGAGCGAACAUGUGCCUAGCGGUCAGUUUUCUGACGAAUCCUAUCUAUCAGAAUAUUCGAGAAUGUAUCCACCCCCCAGUACACCAACUGCUCCUCCGACUACGCAACAGAGUCAAGCUAGUAUGAAUUUCUCUGUUUCUUCUUUAACGAAUAACAGCUCAAUAGAUGCAUUCUCUGUCUCUCAUAAUUAUAAUCCUUCGAGUUAUCCAAAUCUAAUGGGCCCACCUCAUCCUCAUCUUAUGGACUCAUCAAGUAGUUCUUUAUUCAAUCCUCUAGUUGACAGGACGUGUCGUCUGGGCGGCUCUUCAAUGAAUAGCGUUGGAAUGCCGUAUCCUUACAACCAGUACUCGAGCCCUGGUUUCUCGUAUCCAGCACCACACAAUAUUCAUGUACCCAGCCCCAGUUUCCCCUACGGUGCUCCUUACCCCAGCGCUGGUUACUCACAAACAGGCUAUCACAAUAUCGGCUACGGUAGUUUUUGA